CGGUACAAAAUACAUCUAACGCCAAAACCUCGAUUAAAAUCAGGAGCAUUACACAAAAAUACAUCAUUAAUUUUAAUUCCUCUUUAUGGGCAACUCAAUUAAAGCAAGGUUUAGUUUUUCUUCCACAAGAGAGGUGUUGAGAUUACGGAAAGGAUUCAGCUAUAGGCGCAGUUUAUUUCCUGGACUAAGAGUAGUGGAUGAUCUGGGUAGCAGCAGCUAGAAAGACAAUCUAGCGCUAUUCUGAGGCUCAACCCACAGGGACAGCAAUCGCCCGGUGCCUGGUUUUAUGUAAAUCACAGUCAGCUCCGGAUGUGGCGGGUGCUUGAAGAAGUAGGCUGGCCUGGCCUUCCAGAACCCGCGGCCUCACUCGCCCUCAACACCCUAGUUUCGCAGUCCUCUUGCUCCAAGCGAAAAUCGUUCGGGAAAGGCCUCUGUUGCAUCAAUUAGUUUGCACAGAAUGCUUCGGUGUUUAGCUUCGCCUUAACCCAAUUAAGCCGCACAGCGAGCCCAGAAAGAUGCGCCACCUGCGCCUGGCUGCAUUCGGCGGCCGC
rnacentral:lncRNA from 1 species